AUUGAACGCUGGCGGCAGGCCUAACACAUGCAAGUCGAGCGAGUGGCGGACGGGUGAGUAAUGUAUGGGAAACUGCCUGAUGGAGGGGGAUAACUACUGGAAACGGUGGCUAAUACCGCAUACCAUCGGAUGUACCCAUAUGGGAUUAGCUUGUGGGUGGGGUAAAGGCUCACCAAGGCGACGAUCCCUAGCUGGUCUGAGAGGAUGAUCAGCCACACUGGGACUGAGACACGGCCCAGACUCCUACGGGAGGCAGCAGUGGGGAAUAUUGCACAAUGGGCGCAAGCCUGAUGCAGCCAUGCCGCGUGUAUGAAGAAGGCCUUAGGGUUGUAAAGUACUUUCAGCGGGGAGGCGUUACCCGCAGAAGAAGCACCGGCUAACUCCGUGCCAGCAGCCGCGGUAAUAC
rnacentral:rRNA from 1 species